AUUGAACGCUGGCGGCAUGCCUUACACAUGCAAGUCGAACGGCAGCACGGGUGCUUGCACCUGGUGGCGAGUGGCGAACGGGUGAGUAAUACAUCGGAACAUGUCCUGUAGUGGGGGAUAGCCCGGCGAAAGCCGGAUUAAUACCGCAUACGAUCUACGGAUGAAAGCGGGGGACCUUCGGGCCUCGCGCUAUAGGGUUGGCCGAUGGCUGAUUAGCUAGUUGGUGGGGUAAAGGCCUACCAAGGCGACGAUCAGUAGCUGGUCUGAGAGGACGACCAGCCACACUGGGACUGAGACACGGCCCAGACUCCUACGGGAGGCAGCAGUGGAGAAUUUUGGACAAUGGGCGAAAGCCUGAUCCAGCAAUGCCGCGUGUGUGAAGAAGGCCUUCGGGUUGUAAAGCACUUUUGUCCGGAAAGAAAUCCUUGGCUCUAAUACAGUCGAGGGAUGACGGUACCGGAAGAAUAAGCACCGGCUAACUACGU
rnacentral:rRNA from 1 species